AUUGAACGCUGGCGGCGUGCUUUACACAUGCAAGUCGAGCGGCCGCGUGGGCUUCUGCUUGGCGUCGCGUGGCGGACGGCUGUGUAGUACAUCGUAUCGUGCCCAGUCGUGAGGGUUAGCUCCGCGACGGCCAGCUUACUACCGCACACGACAUUAGUUUGAAAACGUGUGAUCAUACGACCUCACGCCAUUGGACGGGCCGUUGGCGGAUUAGCUAGUUGGUGUGGUAAAGGCAGAGCAAGGCGACGUUCUGUAGGUGGUCUGAGAGGACGACCAGCCACACUGGGACUGAGACACGGCCCAGACUCCUACGGGAGGCAGCAGUGGGGAAUUUUGGACAAUGGGCGAAAGCCUGAUACAGCAAUGCCGCGUGAGUGAUGAAGGCCUUCGGGUCGUAAAGCACUGUUGGCCGGAACGAAAAGGACUGUGAGUAGACCACGGUGCCAUGACGGUACCCGCAGAAAAAGCACCGGCUAACUACGUG
rnacentral:rRNA from 1 species